rnacentral:misc_RNA from 1 species
GAUGAAGAACGUAGCGAAAUGCGAUACGUAAUGUGAAUUGCAGAAUUCAGUGAAUCAUCGAAUCUUUGAACGCAUAUUGCGCUCUCUGGUAUUCCGGAGAGCAUGCUUGUUUGAGUAUUAGUAAACACCUCAACUCCCUUUUCUUUUUUGAAAUGGGAGCUGGACUUGAGUGAUCCCAACGCUUUUCUCACCGGAAAGUGGCGGGUUACUUGAAAUGCAGGUGCAGCUGGACUUUUCUCUGAGCUAUAAGCAUAUCUAUUUAGUCUGCCUAAAAACAGAUUAUUACCUUUGCUGCAGCUAACAUAAAGGAGAUUAGUUCUUGUGCUGACUGAUGCAGGAUUCACAGAGACAGCUUCGGCUGACUUUGUAAACUCGAUCUCAAAUCAAGUAAGACUACCCGCUGAACUUAAGCAUAUCAAUAAGCGGAGGA